CGUAGCUCUCAGGGGAAAACGUCGUCCGAGUUAACCAAGCUUCACGAGCAGCGAAGCCGGAGAUCGAUGCUGCCACUGAGAUCUCUCAAUAAAUUAAAGCUCAAAGUUCAUAUGGGUGGAAUGGAUUGAAUGUGUUGGGAUUGUGGAUAGGUCUGCAUAUGACUGAUGUGCCCGUUCGAUAUUUGUGGUUACUCAUGUGAAUAAAAGAAGUGGGGAUUGCAUUCAAGGGAAACAGAAAGAAUGUGGUUGAAUCAUUGGAGGCGAUGAAUGAGCAAGAAGCUAUGGAGAUGAAAGCAACCUUGGAAGAAUACAAAGGGGAAGUUGAUUUUUAUGUGUGUAAUACCCUAAAGAAAAAGGUGAGCAUCAAGAAGAAUAUGGUGUCAAUCUCAAAAGAGAAAAAGAAAGAGCACCAACGGGUUUUUACUCCGUCAAUGAUUGAACCAUCAUUUGGGAUCUGGUCGGAUCAUUUACUGUUUGUACGAGCAUUGUUUCAGAACAGGGCCAAGCAAAGCAGGGGAUGAACAGUUGAAUGUGUUCUGUUUCCUCAGACAAAGUUAUUUCCAAGGAACUCGCUUCGGGUUGGCAUCUCACAUAAAAUUGACAUCACUGGUACGUAAACAGAAUUACAAGUUCUUAAAAUCUUGAAAAUGGAGCAGAGCGAAUGAAGAAGAUUUGUGUGUCAACCAAUGAGCUUGGAGUGACAUUUGCAAUAA